UUUUAUGGAGAGUUUGAUCCUGGCUCAGGAUGAACGCUGGCGGCGUGCCUAAUACAUGCAAGUCGAGCGAACGGACGAGAAGCUUGCUUCUCUGAUGUUAGCGGCGGACGGGUGAGUAACACGUGGAUAACCUACCUAUAAGACUGGGAUAACUUCGGGAAACCGGAGCUAAUACCGGAUAAUAUUUU
rnacentral:rRNA from 1 species